AUGCAUUGGUUAGCAGGUCUUCAAGGAGAGAAACCAGAGACAGCUAGGCCAGAAAGCACCUCCAACAGUGCAGAGGCCAGGGAGCUCAGCGAGAGGCAAAUGCUCCCUAAAAGAAGCAGGCACUAUCCAGGAAACCAACACGAGAGACUGCAUCACAGCCACAAAAGGAAGCAGCCCACAAUCCACCCAGCUAUAAACUGCAAAAAAAUAAACAGUCAGCAAACCCCACUCUCCUCCAUCCGGCCCAGCUUCACACCUUCUUCUAGGUGAAAAUACAUCUUGGAAGCUUCCAGUCUUUAUUGAUUGGAAAGAAUUAACUCAACACCCCUACUCACUGCUUUAUUCUGAAAUAAUUACAGUGAUAAUAUUUCUGACUAGAGUGCCAGAAUCCCCUAGGUCAGAGCCCACCCAAUUCCCUGUGGUUUUCCUUGCCUUUCCUCUCCUCUCCUGCUGCCUUUUAUAGGCUGGCAAUCUCCAUUCAGAUCUGCUGAAACCAGCUAGCUCUCCAUGGCGGUAAGUUCUUUGAAGACAGAUAAAUGCUAGUCAUCUCUUGACCUCGUAUUUUUGCCAGAUUGCUUGUGUUGCACAAAUUGUUUUUUAAUUUCUCCCUUUUUGAACCACAUCAAUGUUAGGAAUCUUUAAUAGGAUUAAUUUUUAGAUGUUCGAAAGGCAGUAGAAGCAUGCAAUGUUGAAAUCAUCAGAGUUAGCGGACAUGAAGCAAUUGAAAAGCAUCUUAAUGAUGUGCACGGUCCAGCUUUAGCUCUUAUUGUUGAAAGAUUGAAAGCGUGUGGUGGAUCUCAUGAUUUGUAUAUGGUAACCUGGUUCUAGUAAUUUUCAACUUGUACAUCUUUAGUAUUUUGCAUGCUAAUUUGAGUUGCUCUUAGUAUCACUUAAAUAUGCAAAAGUAAUGCCAAUGGGGCCUACAUCUAAAGGCAGCUCGAAGGUUGCAAAAUCUACUUCUAAUUGUUCGGUGAAGCAUGGAAGCAGGACUAUAUCUUUGGGUAUUCCAACUAAGGGUGCAAGGCCAGAUUCAAUAUUGUUUGUUCAAGGUAUAGCUGUCCAAUCACAGGCUUUGUUAAAUGUCAAGGAUUCAAAUGAGGAUUGAAGGGAGAGAAUAGUUGUUCAUAGAUUCAAGUUUGAAGAGCCACAGAUAGAGCAGAUCCAAGAUCUUGAGAAUGAUAUGAUGAGAUUUUUCAGAGAGGAUUUGCAUAAGCGUCUACAAAGCACAGAUUUUAAUAAGCAAGUUGAUGGGGUUUUGUGUGGGUUGUGUUGUGGGCUGCUGUAUUACUGAGUUACAGCAACAAAGCAGCAAGGACGGUGUUAGAGAGAACAGAGGAGCUUCAGCCCAGGUACGCAUCAGACUCCAAGUAAUAUCUGUGGAUGAAUUGUCCUUGAAUCCUCAAGUAUCCACAUAAAUAACAGUUGAAGAUCUCAGUGAUAGCAGCCACAUUCUGUUAGAAGAAGGGAGUUGCAUCUUGUUUGGACGACUAGGUUCAAAAUAUGCUUGGGAACUGCAAAAGGUCUAGCAUAUCUCUAUAAGGAUUCUAAGCCAAAGAUCACACAAAGGUUUCAAAGCAAGUAAUAUUCUACUCAUACACAACUCUGCCCAAAGAUACUUGAUUUUGGAUUGGCCAAGCUAUAUGAUAACACGAAAACUCACAUCAGCACUGGAUGUCAUUUUUGGUUGAAACCAGAUUGUGAAAGUAUUGCUUUGUAUUUAUGUAGUCAUUAUCAUCAAUACAUGUAUUUUGAGUGAACUUUUUGUGUCAUCUUUGAUAGUCACAUGAGCUUGAAACUGGAUAUGUGUUGAUGCUUAAGAUUUUGGUAAAACUUCACUGAUAUGAGUACAUUUUCAAUAAUCUUUAUGUAUUUUUUGCUUAAUUGACUUGUUAUUGUUCAUACAGGAUGAUGCAAUAUCACUUAACGUAAAAUCUGAGCCAACAAGCUUUAAUUUACCACCUUCAUAUACUGAAGACAAUAGGAUCAAUAAUGCCAUUGCUUCUAGAGGUCUUGCCUAAGAGAAUCCUUUGGGUGAUCAACAGAAUGAAAAAUAUGGAGACCUAAAAGCAGAAAUCAUUGUUAACGUGCACUAACCACUGGGACAUUAGAUGCGACAUUAGAUGCAAUAAGAGAAAGGAUGAAGAGCAUGCAAUUAGCAGCUGCUGGGAACCCUGAAGCCAGGAGCAGGCUGCUAAUAAACAUGAACGACACUAAAAAUCAUGGACUUCCCAGUCAGAAUCGUUUGUUAGAUCACCCUGGCUCUGAGAAUGCUGUACAAGGUGCAGUUCUCCCCAUGGAUGAGAAGGCGUUAUCUAGACUUCAAACCGGAUGGAGAGACUAAAAAGCAAAACAAUGGAACACCUUCAAAAACUUUUCAGCAAUAUGGCAUUUUGUAAGAUCCCUUGCCAUAGGAUGCCUUCUUGUAAAUGGAAAGUGAGCGAGAUUGAACUGAAAUUUCGGCCGCCACCAUAAUGUAAAUCUUGCAUUCAUUGUUUACUGCAAAUGUUUAUUGAUCAUGUAUUCUUUUUCUAGUGGUAUAAUUUAGUGCUUGUAUAUUGUAAUCAAA